AUUCCAUGAUGUGGGCACCUUGCAACUCUUUAAAAUGUUUCCACGCAUCAUAUAAGGACUCCCCAUCUAGCUAAUUAAAGUUAUUAAUUUCUCCUCUAUAUC